GGUGCCGUAGACCAAUUCGUUAUGUCGCAUCCCCGAAAUGGAGGAGAUGUAGGUUCAAGUCCUGCCGGCGCUC